AUUGAACGCUGGCGGCAGGCCUAACACAUGCAAGUCGAGCGAGCGGCGGACGGGUGAGUAAUGUCUGGGCAACUGCCUGAUGGAGGGGGAUAACUACUGGAAACGGUAGCUAAUACCGCAUACCAUCAGAUGUGCCCAGAUGGGAUUAGCUAGUAGGUGGGGUAAUGGCUCCCCUAGGCGACGAUCCCUUGCUGGGCUGAGAGGAUGACCAGCGACACUGGAACAGCGACCCGGGCCAGACUCCUACGGGAGGCAGCAGUGGGGAAUAUUGCACAAUGGGCGCAAGCCUGAUGCAGCCAUGCCGCGUGUAUGAAGAAGGCCUUCGGGUUGUAAAGUACUUUCAGCGGGGAGGCGUUACCCGCAGAAGAAGCACCGGCUAACGCCGUGCCAGCAGCCGCGGUAAUAC
rnacentral:rRNA from 1 species